UGAGGAACAUGACUUUCGGUGGGGGAGUAGCCGGCCCAACGGCCGGGUAAUACCGCGUACGACCAUUUGGGGACAUCCCCGAAUGGUGAAAGCAGCAAUGCGCCGAAAGAGUGCCUCGCGGCCUAUCAGCUAGUUGGUGGGGUAAUGGCUCACCAAGGCAACGACGGGUAGCUGGUCUGAGAGGAUGGCCAGCCACAUUGGGACUGAGACACGGCCCAGACUCCUACGGGAGGNAGCG
rnacentral:rRNA from 1 species